rnacentral:lncRNA from 1 species
GUCAAUUACACCUGACCUUGGAGUGUGACACUGAGUCUCUAACCCUGCACAGCCUCCUGGGCACGAGAGCUUGAGCUUCACUGACAGUCUCAAGGGCUUCUGCAACCUCAGCAACCCUGGGCAGUGACAUCAUCCAGGAGGCCUGGGCUGUGGCUGUUGGUGCGAGGUGGGGAGGCAGGCAGCUGGUGACCAGGACUGAGAACUUGUCCCAGGCCACGAGCCUCCCCAUUGAGAAGGCAAGCAGACUCACAGUUUUUUGGCAUCUCAGGGAUGCUGCAGCAGUGACCUAGUUCUUUCAAAGGGUCUGUGGAUUCUCUUGACUUUCCUGAUAUGUUCCUGCAGUAGUUCUGGGAGCCAAAGUUCACAAUGUGAGUCUCCACAUGCUGCUCUGUCUGUCUAAGUGGAAGCUACAAACUAGUCUUGCUUCCUAUCUGCCAUUUUCACUCAAUCACGCCAAGAUGUCUUUAUAACAUAAAGAUGCAAGGAGAAACAGCAAGUGCUAAUGAAGAAGCUGCAGCAGGUUAUCCAGAAGAUUUAAUUAAGAUCAUUGAUGAAG